rnacentral:rRNA from 1 species
GACGAACGCUGGCGGCGUGCUUAACACAUGCAAGUCGAACGGUGAAGCGCCUUCCUUUUUGGUGGGUGUGGAUGAGUGGCGAACGGGUGAGUAACACGUGAGUAACCUGCCCCCUUCUUCUGGAUAACCGCAUGAAAGUGUGGCUAAUACGGGAUAUUCUGGGUCUGUCGCAUGAUGGGUCUGGGAAAGAUUUUGUUUCGGUGGGGGAUGGGCUCGCGGCCUAUCAGCUUGUUGGUGGGGUGAUGGCCUACCAAGGCGGUGACGGGUAGCCGGCCUGAGAGGGUGGGCGGUCACACUGGGACGGAGACACGGACCAGACUCCUACAGGAGGCAGCAGGGGGGAAUAGUGCACAGUGGGCGCAAGCCUGAUGCAGCGACGCCGCGGGAGGGAUGGAGGCCUGCGGGUUGUGAACCUCUUUCGCCAGUGAAGCAGGCCUGCCUCGUUUGUGGGUGGGUUGACGGUAGCUGGAGAAGAAGCGCCGGCUAACUACGUG